GACGAACCGUGCGAACGUUGUUCGGAAUCACUGGGCUUAAAGGGCGCGUAGGCGGGUGACCAAGUCAGGGGUGAAAUCUUUCGGCUCAACCGGAAAACAGCCUCUGAUACUGGUCGUCUUGAGUGAGGUAGGGGCAUGUGGAACUUCCGGUGGAGCGGUGAAAUGCGUAGAUAUCGGAAGGAACGCCGGUGGCGAAAGCGACGUGCUGGACCUCUUCUGACGCUGAGGCGCGAAAGCUAGGGGAGCAAACGGG
rnacentral:rRNA from 1 species